rnacentral:rRNA from 1 species
UACGUAGGGGGGCAAGCGUUGUCCGGAUUUAUUGGGCGUAAAGAGCGUGUAGGCGGUUUGGUAGGUCCGCUGUGAAAACUCGAGCUCAACCUCGAGACGCCGGUGGAAACCAUCAGACUAGAGUCCGGAAGAGGAGAGUGGAAUUCCUGGUGUAGCGGUGAAAUGCGCAGAUAUCAGGAAGAACACCCGUGGCUAAGGCGGCUCUCUAGUACGGUACUGACGCUGAGACGCGAAAGCGUGGGGAGCAAACAGG